rnacentral:lncRNA from 1 species
UUUUUUUUUUUUUUGCUUACGCAUGUGAUGGAUUUGGUGCAAUCUUAAUUAAGCAUGUCUUACUAGCUGGUGUUCCGUGAUUGUCAUACUCCAGUAGUACCACUCAUGACUUGUCCCUACUUUGCAUGAGCUACCAAUUUUUCAUACAAAAAGAAGCUUCUUGCAUGAAGCUAAGAAAAGACGCACUAAACAUGAAACAAUAUGUAACGCCGAGCUAGAUGCAUACCUGAAAUUAGGCGGCGGUAGCGGCGGGAGAAAAGAAUACAUUAGAAAGGCAGUGAAGUGUUGCGGAACAUGGACAUAGGUAGACUACCUCUUGUCCAAUAUGGUCAAAUGGAUCCCUUAUGAAUUUGUGCAGCACAACUAGCUACCUCUUGUCCAAUAUGGAGUAACUAUAAUAAGCCAAUUACUCACGAAUACCUAGGCUAAUUUGGGUACCUUUGUGACUUUCUGGUGUAAUCAUGGCCGGCCGGCAUUCAUCCUCGUCCGGAGAAGCUGCACUGAAAAGUCUGAAACAAUGGUGUACCGUCCCCUUAAUUUGUGCACCAGUACUAGUAUAGCCUCUCCAUGCAUCUUCAUGUCUUUCUGUCCUUGCAUUGCUCCACCAAAGCGUGCAUGCCUUCUACGGUUCCAUACAGGCUAAUAUUUUUUGUAACUUGUUAAAUCUUCAUGCUCUAUGAAUGAGUACUACUACUCUCUCUGUAAAGAAACAUAAGAGCGUUUAGAUCACUAUUUUAGUGAUGUAAAUGAUCUUAUAUUUCUGUACAAAGGGAGUACUACUCUACCCAGUACCACUACUCUCUUUGUAAGAAAAUAUAAGAGCGUUUAAAUCACCACUUUAGUGAUGUAAAUGAUCUCAUAUUUCUUUACAGAGGGAGUACUACUACUCUCUCUGUAAGGAAAUAUAAGAGCGUUUAGAUCACUACUUUAGUAAUACAGAUGAUCUUAUAUUUCUUUACAAAGGGAGUGCUACUCUACCCUUUGGUGCAUGUUGUGAAAAUUCAGGUCACCUAAUAAACGGGCAUAUACAUGGAUAAAGCAUCAAGGAAAAAUUAACCGGACAAAACAUGCACAAAACUCUCAGCAUCUUCUAAAAGCAAAGCUAGCAGUCCGAUAUUUCUCCAUCUCAUUUUCCCCCUUUUUUCUCGCGUGUAUAUGUGUAUGCGCUGCUUUGAUUUGAUUCGUGUGGAGAUGGAUUGUUUGGAAUAUUUUUUCUGGAAGGACUAGCCAGCUUUGUUUGAUCAACACACACCGGACCACAUAUACAGAAGCGACAUGGGCUUCUUCUUGUCCAUGGUCCUAAAAUUAUCGGCAAAUGCUUAUGACUGUAUGCCAUUGUAUUGUUUAACAGCGUGGAUCAAGAAGAAGCAUAAUUCUCUUCCUAACACCCUGAAGGUCAUUUUGUUACUUUUUUAUUGUUAUGUUAUUUGAGGAGGGUUGUUUUACAUCAGAUUCUGAUGAUUUUCUUUUUGGCGCAAGGAUAGUUUACAAAGAUGUCUUCAUUGGUACAGUUGUAGUGCUGCAUCAUUUGUUAAUUUUCAUUGGUACAGUUGUAUUGCUGCAUCAUUAGUCAACUUUCAUUGGCAGAUUUUAAAAUUUUCCUAAUGUUUGUUUCAUAUGGACAAGUUUUGUAAUGAGCAGGAUAGGUAGUACUCUCUACUCUUUUGCCAUUUAGAAUUUAUAGGAGUUAAAACUGCAGCCUUAGGCGCAUCGAUGUUUGUGCUGGGGUGCGACAUCAUCGAUGUUGUAGUAACGAAUUAUAAUGUCAAAGCUGCUGCCUUAGCAGAUCUAAGUUUGGAAAAUGGAUGCAUCAUAUCUAUUCAUGUGUGUUCAGGUGACUAAUUUUCUGCAUCGUGAAUUAAGUAUUCCGAAUUUCUGGGAUGGCAAUGUUGUCUGAAAGCUUGGCAUAGUUAGGCAUCAACUCGCUUUCAAAACCACUGUUUUUCCCUCAUUAAAAAUCAACACAGUAGUACACAUUUGCUAGUCUUCAGUUUUAUGUAACUCAUUAUUAAUAGAGUUUCAGUGCACCAUUUCAAAAGCCUUUGGUUAGUUUCAUCGGUACUAGAUAUUUAUGAGCAAAUUUGUUAUAUUUUAUCAACCAGAUUCAUGCCUUUCUCACUAUACUCAUUUUAUCAUUCAUGAACGAUCAGAUGUCUUUAAAAAUAGGAUAGUUGAAGCCACUUUGCUUCCUACUAAAUGGAAUAUUUGCACAUAAUGUUUCUCUUUUUAUCUCUUAAUAUUAAAAGGAUUUGCCGAUCAGGUGCUUGUAAAAAAGUCUCGCUGCAUCGCCUACAAGGUUCUUCCUGAAUCUUGAUCCCUCCAUUACCAAACUUCCUCUGCUCUGUUGCUUCUUUACUAUAUCAUGCAAUUGACAUUUUGAUUAUUUUUGCUGCCUUCCUUGAAUAUGUUUAGAGAUGAGUCAUUGUUUGUAUUAUGAGACACAUCUGCCAUGUGCUAGCGUUUAUUUUGGUAGAACUCAUCGUGGGGUUUAUUUUGGUAGAAGAGUGUCUUUGCAGAGAUAGACACACUUAAUUACGAUCCAACUUAGAAUUUAUGUUGUAGAAAAGAAAAAAAAAUCUGCCACCACUUAGGUAAUAAGUUACUAUUGUCUGUAGUUACACGCUUACUAAUAGCUUCUCAGAGUUUGAUAGCGGAGCUCAUGUUCUAAGUCCCCUUAAUUUUAUUCCAUGGUAUUUUGUUCUACAUUAUUAUGCCUUUUUGUGAUGAUGCUUAACCUGAACGUAUGCAGUCAUCAUUUCUUUGUCACAAUCAUGGCCACACAUAUGUGCUCCUUAGAAAAUUUGUACUGCAUUCUAACUUCACUUUUGGUAUAAUUAUUCAUGUAAAUUUCUACAGAUUACCACUUUGAAGAAUGAUGAGUUACUUUCUCGCUAUUUUUUGAGUGACAGUAUGCGUCGCACGGAACAACGUAUCCAUCUAGGCUAGGUUUACACCGUCGUCGGUAAUGAACUAUUGUGCGCUUCUUCAGGUCACUCGCUAGGUGGGUUCGCGUUGGGUAGUUGAUCUACAACCCAAAUUGCAUGCGCCCGGGUACUGUGUGUAUGCCUGACCAGGGUAUGUUUUUUGAAAAUCACAGAACCUCAAACAAUUUUUCUGCAGUAUUACCUUUUCCUUUUUUUUUGUUAUACUUUAUGCUAGCUCGAUGCCACAUACCUUUGCUAGUUAAGGCAGGUCUACGCUUGCCGGUCCAUUUCGUCGUCCCGGAGGUAAAUCGAUCAAAAUUGCAGCCCAUUCACCCGUUGUACAAAAUGUGGUUACCAAGUUAGAUUACGAGCUUCCGUCAAACGAAUCAUGUGGGAUGGACUACAAUAGAAUCUGAGCAUCCUAUGCAAAAAUAGAAAAAACAUCCUGGACCAUUAGAUUGAAGAUGAAUGGUACAGAUUUAGGUGGAGGGAUCUGAACCACUUAAUGUACGUUUCACAGAAAACCCCCUGUCAAUAGUUAGAUAUGAAACAACACAUUUGCAGUUUAGACCUUUAGUCUUCGUGAAAUCUGAGCCUUUCAGCUAUGCACCAUGUUGAAGCUUUUUUCCUCUUAGUUUGAUACAGAAUAUUUACAAAUAUUUACUUCAUGAAAUUCGUACACAUUUAAGUGUCUAUUUUGGCCUUUGAGGCAUCACUUAUUUUUCAAGAGAGUUCAACAUCUUGGUUAAUAAAACGCAUCAAUAUGUAUCAAAAAUAUUUCAGCACAUGAGAGAAUUAAGCCAUCCCAGAUCAAGCAGACUACAUAUACAUAUCAACCUGGAAGUAUCCGAGUGCAUGAGCAAAUUAAGGAUUGAAUAUUUGAGCACAUGAGAACAUAGCACAAGAGGUAUACAUAGAUCGUAUUUAGUACAUGACCGGCAGGACCGUGUUAAGGACUGAAAUUAUCACUGCCCAACAAGCAUCUUUUUAUUAGGGUCCCAACAAGCAUCUUGAUAGUACAUGAGAGAAAAGAUCUAUCAUUUUGCCUCCUGUUUAUGUGCUUCCUGGUAAUCGAGCUUCAUCUGCUGUGAGAAAUGACAACCUCCAUGGACUCCUAUACAUUUAUCAGUUCAAUCUACCUUGCUAAUAACAUGAAAUAAAUAGGUGUCAGUUAGAAACGGAUAUGAAAUAGCAGGAGAUGUCUCACAGAGAGAGUACAAAUAUACUGUUGCAGCAUAUUUCGUUAUACCAUUACAGAUUAUGUUAUAAAACGAACAACAUUGAAACUCAUUUUUCGCAAGAGAUCAGCAUAACACACAUAUGUUCUGAUUCAAAAAGAAUUAUGACAACUGACAAACACUCGUGUUUAUGCCAUUGAAUUGAAUGGACCUAAGCUGCUUGCAUAAAAACCAGCUCAUAAAAGUUUCAUAGUGGUGAAGGUUAGAGAGUAUGACCUAGGGUUACAAUUAUAAAUUUGACUUUACCUAUAUAGUAAGGACUUGGACAUGGUUACAAAUAUAUUUCGCAUGCAAAAAAUAAAUCUUGGUACCUUGAGAAAAUAGAAACAUAUAUAGGCUCCAGUUUCACACGGGGUUAAAGCUUGCAUGAGCAUGCAUAGACCUAUGAUCAACAUAUUACAAUUUCAACGAUUGGUUAAAAGCAUAAAUGAGGACGAUGAACAAGUGGCAUCGAGUAAUUUAAAGGGAGUUUUUUGAGUUGCUUGCAGAUGCAGAUUAUAUUCGAAUUCGAUAGCUAUAAACAAAGAAUUUGGCAUGCAUUAUAUUAUACCUUGUAAUAAAAAUAAAACUACGACAGCACAGGAAAAAUAUAAAUGAACAAGAUGGCAAACAGGCUCUUGUCAUUGAAAAAUGAUUGAUACUAAAUCACAUACAUAGAUCCUUGCUUUAGCGAUAACAGAAGUCGGUCAAAAUGGAAGGUAUACAUAUCUUGGGUAAAUGAUCUAUGUAAGCCAGAUUGUUUCAAUCGACCUGGUUGAGCCGUCAUAGCAAGACAAAUUGUAAGUUUAAUACCAUCAACCUUGUGUCCCAAUCGUGAUACCAUACUGAUAUGUAGAAUAUUACAUGCUAUUUGCUUAUGAAAUCUCAUUUUUCUGUCACAUCUAGUAAUAUAUUUUGAAGCAAACUAAAAUUCAACUACUAUUACCUAGAUGCAAUGCACAUUCAACAAGUAUUGUAGGUUGUGAGCAGUAUAGGUACCUCUUGAGAAAAUGAUUGUUUAUUUUUCGGAGUACUGAAAUCAUCGAUGAGAAGCAUGGGGGAAUUAAUCUCUGCAAACGAGGUAGCAUCGCUGAAAUCUUGAUUUUGAACGUUGUUGACCAAUUCCACAGCUACAAACAAUUUUUUCGCAAACAACAUCACACAAGGGAUUAAUAGAACGUUAGGUACAUCAACAUACUUUCUUAGACCGAUGUUCUCACCUGAUAGUGCUAGUGCACAUGCUGCGAUCAUUGCAGCCAUGGGCUCUCCUAAAGGCGAUAUCGCGCUACUCUCCUCCAUUACUGGAUCCUGAGAUUUGAAUUGCAAAGUCAGAAAUGAUAUCAUCUUUUCUAGGUCAAACAUUAGGCACAUGGAUCAAAUAAAGAACACGACAGCUGCAUAUAUCUUCGUUUAACCUGUAUUAAAAUAGUAGAAUGUUUAUUAUGAUUUAUGAAGAAAUGCAUGGCACACAGAUCUUACUUGCCGGUCAUGGCAUGCUACUGUUGACAUUUUUACUUGGCACUGCUCUUUGCACUUACAAUUAAAAUGGAUGUGUAUGCCAUCCAUUAGCUUUAAUACUUUGAGAGCUAGUUCAUUUGUCGAAGCUUAUUUUACAUGUAAUAACUGGAAUUGGGAUAACACUGUUCUUGCUCGGCGGCCUGCUUAGUGCCUCCGAUUCUGUUGUUGUGGUUGCACUUGUAAAAGAGCCUGGAAUGAGUAAAAAAGCUUUGUGGUUGUUUCGUGGUACCUCCCAUUGCAAUAUUGGUUGUGAUGUUUUACCGGUAAUCUGGGGCAGGUUCCAUAUAUGCAUAUAGCAAAGUACGUACCUGAUCCAGAUUUGAAGAGACCUUCAUAGCUUUCAUCUUAAAGAUAAGAGCAUGCUAUUACUAGAAAAAUCCGAAGUUACAUGAAUCCAAAUUUUGAUAUGCUGACAAAUGGACCAAUUUCAAAUUUAUUUUUCUUAGUAGAAUCAAUUUACUUUCUUUCCAGCUUGUCAAGCUGUUGACCCUGGGUCAAUAAAAUGGACCAAUUUCAAUUUUUCUGCCUAGUAGAAUAAUUUACUUUCUUUCCAUCAUGUUUUGCUUGUCAAGCUAUUUCUGAACCAAGAUAUUCAGGUGUUGAGACUAAAGCAGUAGCUAAAAUGAACUUGCUCACACAGCAGCAAUAGAGUAUAUUCACGACUAAUUGCAUGUUCGUGUGAACUGUAAAGUCAACUGAUGAUUCACACUAAUUAGGCAUAGCCAUUAACUAACAUAUUACAGGAAAAUUCGACAUUAUUAUAGGCAUAUUCUUGACUGACCCAGAGUCUAGAGCAGUAGCAAUACACCAUUAAAUCUUCCAAAUUAGAGUACAAAAACGUCUAGAACAGUACCAAUACACCAUCAAAUUGAAGUUACUAGAAAAUAGAAGUUAACAUCUACUUAACAGAAAAUUACUAGAAAGUAGAAGUUAACAUCUACUUAACAGAAAAAUGAAGCACCUCGUCUCAUGGCCGGUCUGGAAGGAGCCGAGGAGACCACAACCAGCUUGCCGCCGAUUAGGGGGAGGAGGACGCGAGCUAUUACUGGAGCCUUAGAGAGAGAGGGAGAGAAGGAGACGAACCCAGAGCUACCGGACCUUCAGAAGGGAGGCUGCGACGAGGACAGUGUGGGGCGGUGGUUGGUGGCUGACGAGCUCAAUCUAGUCCGCCUCUCUGGGCCGCCAGCCACACAACAGCAAGGAGCCAUCGAGAGAUCUGGAGGAGGGAGUACUCAGCUAGCUUGGAGAAGCGAUCUGGGUCGUCGCCGCCGCCGCCGCCCUCGGGGGAAAAUCUGUUCGUGCACUGCUUCUUCCCAGGGGAUUUGGGUUUGAACGAGAGGGGCAUCGGGACCAAAUUAGCUUUUGGGGACGGUCUUUUUUGCAAAUUUUGCGCAUAAAACGCCACACCCGAAUCUGGGCCAUCAAUCUUCCAUCCAAUGGUACAGAUUCUUUUUUUCUAUUUUUGCACCAUAGCCUCAGAUUCUAUACUACUCCCUCCGUUUCUAAAUACUUGUCUUUCUAGGCAUUUCAACAAAUGACUACAUACGGAGCAAAAUGAGUGAAUCUACACUCUAAAAUAUGUCUACAUAUAGCCGUAUGUAAUAGUCAUUUGAAAUGUCUAGAAAGACAAGUAUUUAGGAACGGAGGGAGUAGUUGCUUCCGAAUCAUGUGCAUACCUGACACAGAGAGAGAGAGAGAGAGAAAGAGAGAGAAUUGAAGCAGUGUUUAUUGUAGCUAUGCAAACUAGGCCUUUUGAUGACAAAGCAACCGUGAAUAAAGAUUGAGAUCGUAGCAACAACAAUGUUAUCGUACCAUAUCGCAUGCACGAGAAACUUUGAACACAUUGGCAAAGUGGCCAGGGUUGUGAAACUGCUAAUAGCCACCAGAACCAUCGCGAUUUGGUGAUAAUUAUGCAGCACAGUUAUUAAUCACCUAGAAUGGACGUAUUGUAGGUAUUUUUUAUAUUAUAAGUACUGUAGCAGAUCAAAAUUGGUACUGUACAACCGGGCUGGACAUUCUAGCUAAAGCGUCUUUUAUAGCUAAAAAACUAAUGUGUUUUUUCAUCUUUUGGAAUAUUUUUAAAAUUAUGAAAUGUUUUUCAAAUUUUGAACUUCUUUCGGGAAUGCGAUUUUUUCAAAUUUCUGAACCUUUUUUAUGAAAAAUACUUUGAUUUUGUGAAUAUUUUCAAAUCUUGAGAACAGAUUUUCAGAAUUGUAAAAAAAGUCCAAAAUUGUAGAAACUUUUUCAAAAAGAAGGAUAAUUUAUCAAAUUUGUCAACAUUUUCUUGAAAACAUGAUAAUUUUUAAAUUUCCGAACAUUUAGAAAAGUACAAAUAAUUUUUGACGAGGAUUAUUGGAAAACAAAAACACAAACACAAACAUUUUUCAAAUUGGAAAAAAAGUGUUCAAGUUAGUAAAAUUUUCAUACACACUUCGAAAUUCCAAAAUUGUUGACAAAUUUCAGGAAAUUGUUAGGAGAAAAUAAAAAUGUUUAUGUUGAGUGAUAAUGACGGGAAUUACAAAUACACUCAUCUCACUGGUAUAUUUUAGGCUAUGGAUAAAUGAUCCCACCGUCUUGUAAGAGCCUGGCAUGGACAUAUGAGAUAUCCAUGUCAGGUUUGAAUGACUUCCGAUAUCGUUUACAUGUUGCAACACGUCCGACCAUUUAUCGACCUAUUUUCAUGGAGAAAACUCUAAAAAAUGCAAAACUUUUGAAAAAUCUAAGCAACUUAGCAUUGUGCCUUGAAUUGGUCAUAGAAACUGGUGGAAAAUAUUGGGGGUUAUUUGACGGUUGUCGAAAAACAAGAGCUUUCAAACGGACCCUUCUGGCCUAUCCGAACACCCUUCGGUGAACAUAAUCUAUUUUUGGACAUCCUUAAAAUGAACCCCACUUUUGCAAGAAGGUAGGCAUGCCCAUGAUAAGCACAUGCCUGGUCUGGAUGAUUUUGGACACCAUAUGCAAGUAGUGACACAUCUGGUCAUUUAUUGGCCUUCUUAACCAAGAAAAGUUCAAAAAAUGCAAAAUUGGGCGAAACCCCAAACAAUUUGGUAUGGUGCCUUGAAUUGGUCAUACAAGACCAUGAAAAAUGGGGCAAUUUAAGGGAUGUCGAGAAAUAAGGUGCUCCAAAACAUACCCUUCUGGCCUAUCCGAACACUCUCCAUUGAACAUGAUAUUUCUUCGAAGAUCUCAGCACAAGCCCUAACUUUUGCAAGCAAGUCGGCAUGACCAUUUAAGGCAUCCAUGCCUAGUUUGAAUGACUUCCGACACGGUAUGCAUGUUUUACCAUUAAUAGGACUUUUUCAUCGAGAAAACUCCAAAAAGACAAAACUUGGCAAAAACCCGUAUAAUUUGACAUGGUGCCUUGAAUUGGUCUUACGAGGCCAUGAAAAAAAUAGGGUCAUUUACGGGAUGUCGAGAAAUGAGUUGCUCCCAAACAGAUCCUUCUGGCCUAUUCGAACACUCUCCAUUGAACAUGGUAUUUCUUUGAAAAUAUCAAGACUGCCCCCAACUUUUGCAAGCAAGUGGGCAUGCCCAUGUUAGGCAGCCAUACCUUGUCUGAAUGAUUUCCGACACCAUAUGCACAUUGCGACAUGUUCUAUCAUUAAUUGUCAUUUUUUUCAGGAAAUGAACAACUUGUCAAAAACCCAAACAACUUUUCAUGAUGCCUUGAAUUGGUCAUACGAGGCCCUUAAAAAAUUGGAGUAAUUUCAAGGAUGUCGAGAAAUAACAUGCUUUCAGACGGAGCCUCCUGGUCCCCAGAACAUACUUCGUUCAACAUGGUCUAUUUUUAUACAUCCUUGAAAUGAUCCCAACUUUUGCCACUAGGUGGGCGUGCCCCUCAUAGGCAUCUAUGCCAUGUUUGAACAAUUUCCGACACCGUAUGCAAGUUGCGACACGUCCAGCCUUUUUUCUACAUUUUAUUAUUGAGAAACCUCUAGAAAAAUAUAAAACUUGUCGAAAACAAAAAUAACUUGUCAUGGUGCCUUGCCCAACUAAGCGACUGCAUCGCUCCUGUCAAGCGACUGCAUCGCUCCUGUCAAGCGACUAUUGAAAUUUGUUCGGAAUUUAAAAAAAUUCUCAUUUUCAUAAAAGUUCACAUAUCCCAAAAAUGUUCCUGCAAAUUUAGAACACUUUUUUGAUAUCAUAUAUUUAGUCUCAUUUCUGAAAAAUGUUUUGGAAUUUAAUUUUUUGUCCGUUCUCUCAGAAAAUGUUUGUGUUCACAAUUUUGUUUGUGCUUUUCAAAAAACAUAUUCACAUUUUGACAUUCUGGAAAAAAAAGUAAAGACAAACAUUUUUUGAAAUUACCUUAAAAUUUUAAAAAAAUGCAAAUAAUUUUUAAUUUAUGAACAAAAUUUGGAAAUAACGAACCUUUUGAAAUUUGUGGCAACAUUUUGAAAGCGUGACCAUUUUUUGAAAAAGAAAGAAGAAACAUAACAGGAAAAGGAAACUAAAUAAAAAAAUAAUUAUGGAAAAAUGACCAGUUCACAAAGUGUUCGUAAAAUCUUUUUAAAAUUCCCAGCCUGUCACUUACUUAAUGCGCCUAGCUUUAGAUGGUCUACCAAAGGCAUGCUGUCGCAUUAGUUGUGGAGGCACUUAAUGUGUUAAAGUGGUCGUGGGUUCCAUUCCUAGCUUGUGCGAUCGUUUUUCGCUAUUUUUCAUGGCAUGCCACUGCAAAUGGGCCGGCCCAGGUAAUCUGCCCGGCGUAUAUGUUACUACAAAAGUAGAUACAAAUUGCGAAAUGUCUAUAUUACCCUUUAUAUGUAUUGUGAGGGGGAUUGUACCGAAGCGGGCAGUGGCGAAAACUAAACUAGGACAUACCAAUGUUUAACGAUGUGAGACCUAUUUAACAUAAAUUCGUCUAGCAGGAAUAUGUAAGGUGAGAGAGAGAGAGAGAUAGUUAGUUAGUUAGUUAGUUUAGUGUCAAAAAUGCUCUUAUAUUAUAGGACAGAUGAAGUAUAAAAGGAAAAAAAGGACAUUAAAGGGUCAUGCACGUACCUUUCGGCCAAAUCAGCUUCUUUUAUUGAGAGUUUUUACGGUACCCUAUACUGCUCACAGGUGCUCACAGGUGAGGGAGCGGUAUAUUAAAAUCCAACUGCUCAUUUUCUAAGGGUAGGAUAGACAAAAAAAAUUACAGUCUCCUUCAACCUCCUGUUCCAGUAGCUGGACGGAAGCACCUCCCCGAGCUGUCGUCCUUGACAACGACCUCUGCCUUGAGCUCGUCUUCUUCAUCGCAGCCGAGGACCAUCGCCGGCAUCAGCGCGCUCCCUCGCCGUCAUCACUACGUCCCCAGCCAUCUCAUCGCAUCCAUUGAGCCCGUGGUGAGCUGCCGCUCCUCCGCGCCUCAGUUCUCGUCGUUUUUCGUCCAACGUCGUUUAGCUCAAGACGGAGCCCUGUCCGCCAUGAAGGAAUCCCUGCAUGAAGCUCGUCCUGCACGCACGCGCCCGUCCACGCGCACGCUCAUUCGCACUCCACGUCCGCUGCAACAGCCGGAGCGCACGCGCCGCAGGUCCACAAUUACCGCUGCCGCCUCCGGUACGCAAGCAGCACCACAGCGUCCCCUCGCCUCAUCGCCAUCCGCGGUCAGCAUAAAAGAGCUCUCUUUUAUUACUGUAAGUUACGGCUGUUGAGAAAUAAAAACAUGUGAUCAAUUGUAUGGGAUUGAUGUCUCCCAGAAGGUGUCUGUUGGGGAAGAGGUGUCUCCCCAACACACCCCUUCACCAUGUAUAUAAAUGGGUCUCCCACAUUGCAAUAAAAUGAAUGGAUCAUUUGUCUCUCUCCUUUGUCUUCUUUACUUUGAUACUACAACACGUUAUCAGCACUUCGCUCUCCGUUGAGACCAAACGGCCAUCCGAGAUGGAGAUGUCUAUCGGCAACGCUUCUCUACGGGUGUGUUUGGCAGCCUGCACGGAGGGUGCAUGAGCCCAAAAGUUCUCCAUCGAACCCACUUUUCGUUGUUUGGUAGGGUGCAUGGGCUCUAUCGAGCUAUGCUCAACUGGUGCAAAAAAGCCACUCAGCUAUGCUCAACCCAGCACCCCCAGCGAGGCAAGCCGGGGUCAGCAGGCUGUCUUCGACCCACCGCUCCCUCGAAAGACCACUCCUCCCGAACCCCACCUCUCUCCCACGACCCCAUGUUCUCUCGUGACCCCAACCCUCUCUCUCGCACAACCCGAUGGCGGCGCCGCCGCCGCUUGUCUACCCCGCCGUUCGCCGGUCUAUGCCUCCGCCGCCCAAGAUCUUCCGAUCUACCUCCCCUUUGCCCCGCCCCAGUUGCUCAGUCAACUCGCCGCCGCCCCUCUUCAACAUCCUCGCGAGAGGUAGCANNNNNNNNNNNNNNNNNNNNNNNNNNNNNNNNNNNNNNNNNNNNNNNNNNNNNNNNNNNNNNNNNNNNNNNNNNNNNNNNNNNNNNNNNNNNNNNNNNNNNNNNNNNNNNNNNNNNNNNNNNNNNNNNNNNNNNNNNNNNNNNNNNNNNNNNNNNNNNNNNNNNNNNNNNNNNNNNNNNNNNNNNNNNNNNNNNNNNNNNNNNNNNNNNNNNNNNNNNNNNNNNNNNNNNNNNNNNNNNNNNNNNNNNNNNNNNNNNNNNNNNNNNNNNNNAACCCCCUCCAUCCAUCCUUCCUGCCAUGUCUACCUUGUAGAUCUCUGCAGUAUUUCUCUAUUCCCUUCUAAUUAUGAUGUUUAGGUGGUAAGAACGAGCACAGUAGAUGUUUCCCUUUCAUAUGUUGUAGCUAUUGUGUGCUCAGACUUAAUUUUGUUGAUUGCUUGUCAUGCUGAAAAAAAUUGCAUGUGAUAACUUUUAUUUGUUUUUGUUUUUUAGAUGAAUGAUUUGGCAAGAAAACGAAGAAAAUUCAUUGUGAGAGGAGCUUGGUUUAGUUGAUCUAGUGAUGUUAUAUUGCUGAGAUUCUGUUUCUAAGAUGUUUUAUUUCCCAAUCAUGCUGAGAUAUGACUAGUAAUUUUUUCUUCAUAUUCAUAUACAGCCGAAAUAAUUUUUAUUGUUCAGAUUAUGUUGAAACGGAAAUGUUUAUUGUUCGAAUUAUUAAUGAAGUGUCGAAGUGUUGUUCGAAAUUGUACGGGCACAAAAAAAAUUGUUGAUGCAUCCUACCUCGUAUACAGGCUGCCAAACACAGUCUCGGCUCAGCAUGUCUCAACACAUACAUCACUACCAAGCAUGUACACAACAUGUCUAGACUUGGCAUGUCUCAAAUGGGAACAACUAUGCUAGGAUGGGAACAACUACCAAACACACCCAGCAGGAUCCAGCCCAUCGUUGUCUCUAUGGAUGGAUACAGAUAGAUCCAUUGCUUCUUGCCGGUCUUGAUGCUUCACCCCUUGACACGGACGUACUUGCAUCGGCGACGAUGGCUGGCGCACGACAUGGCUGGUUGGUGCGGCCCACUACAGGCGCGAAGGGGCGCCAAGCCUGCGCGGCGGAUCUCACCCUCAGCGCUGCUCCUUCCGGCGGCAACGACGUCCCCGCAUGCGUUGCUCUUCACUAAAUCAUCUAGGCCAAAACGGCAAGGCCGUGAGGAGCAAGUGAAGCAUGAACACAUGCUAGAUGAAAAUCGAUUGACACUGAUCAAUCAAUAUGCAUGCAGUUGCAUGCGUCCAUUUAGUCAUCAAUGCAUUGAUUCAUUAGUUUAUUCUUGUUGGAGCAAGUACUAAUCGAUGCAUUAUUUUUCUUGUGUCCAUCGAAACGGAAGAACAGCCCCGGCGUAGUACUUCCUCAGCGACACCGCUCGAUGUUGGUCUGUACCAUAGCACGCACGGAGAAACGGCGGCAGUUAUGACCAGACCGCCAAGACGACCGGCGGGGGUGGCAGCGCUCCAGUCUCCCGACCUUAGCAGCAACAGCGCGUCGCGUGCACCAUGGCAUGCACCAGUGCAGCGGCUGCUACGACCCAGACAUGACGACACCAUCUAUGGCAACCGGUUCGUCGUGUAACGACACAACAGAGUCUUGCCGGCACAUCGGUGACGACUGGCGCACGGAGCGUCACUCUCACCGUGAUCGCGGCUCCCGACGUGCUCACGUCUCCCGGUGGGGUGAAAACCGGCGGAGGCGAUAACGGCGGCGUCCAUGGGCCUGCGCCUGCGCGGCGCUGCUGGGACCGGCGGCGGUGGUUAUUCCCCUUGGGAAAUUGGUAACCGCACGGGAGAGAAGGAAAGGAAUCCUAUCUCCUUGGUGAUUUUACAAAUCAGUCACUGGAUUGUUUGUUAAUCCUGGAAAAGUCCCUGCUUUCCCUGAUUUAAGGCAUAUAUGCUUAUCAGAUCUUGCGUUUUAGCCCCUUGGCUUUAGCACUUUGACAAUAAGAUUAUUGUUAUUUGCAUGUUAAGCCAUGGGCUUGAGAGCAAAUAUGCAGGGUAGACCAUUGGUAAAUUGCAUAAUAAUGAUUAUGCAUAAUUUUAUGUCAUGUAAAAUGACCGUUUGAGGCCCCCAAGUCCUUCAGGUUUGCACAGAUCUUAUGGAUUGCAUUAUGGCAACGAAAUAAUUUCGUUCACAACUGUGAGGUCUACACCACCAUGUGGUCAUUAGCUUCAAUGUGUUUUUAAUUAACACAGAGUUGUGAGAAGCUCCAUAAGAGUGAGGUCUACACUACUUAGUGAUUAUCUCCAUGUGUUUAAAGUAAAAGUGAAGGCACAAAACUUAUGACAUAGACAUUAUGAGGCCUACGCUAUUGGUGCCUACCUUCAUGAUGUUUUUCCAAUUACUUGUCAAUUUCAUAGCAUUUGUCAUUGCUUGUGACUGUAAUGUCACAUACUCCAUCAGGAGAUGAAUCCAAGGCAUUGGUGACUAUGAUGCAUAUUAUGCUAUGAAGAGAAUUAUGCAAAACACUUGUAUAUUUUGGUGAUUACCUUCCAUGCAUACACAACUUAUGAGACGCCAUCAUAGCUAUGAAUUAAGUUUAUGCACAACUGAGAGGUUUACGCCAUUUUAUGGUGAUUACCUUCAUGUGUUAUAAAUAACAUAAGGUUGUGGAGGCUAUGAUCAAUGGGAACUGUCCAUAAGAGUGAGGCACCACUAGGUGGUCGACUACCUCUAUGUGUUUUAAGGAAAUUAAAGGUUUGUUCCUUUUUGAGGUGACUACCUUUACAUGGAAGAUCCACACACAUUGUGGUGUUCUUCUGGAAGGCUUGCCCUAUGGGUCACUAAGAAUCACCAUCACCAUGAUUAUGCUUAGCCAUAGCAUUUUCAUCCUACUUAAUUUACUGAAGGUAAAUUAAUGCAUGAGUAUUUCAUGCAUCAUAUGGCUGACCUUUCGUAAGGUAAUGUGAUGCGAUUACAUUAGGUGGGAAUAAUUAUUUGACAUGGGUCGUGGACAUAGUGAUCUUGUCGACCCAUGGCCUUGUGGCCAUAAAGACUCCACCUGCAGAGAAUGUCAUGGCUAUUUAUAAAUAGCUAAAAUGUGCAUAUUUGCAUUUAUGUGAUAUCGCAAUGACUCAGUUUUUAAACUGAGUAUUUAAUGGAUAAUGAAUAUUCAUUUUCCCUCUAAGGCUUCAUUGAGGCGAGAUAUAUUGUUAUAAGCAUCACACGAAUGAUUAUUCAUUCGUAUUAAGGACUUCAAGUCUGUUGAGGCUUAUUAUUCUGAUGUCUAUAAAUCAACACUAAGUUGAGAUUAUGUGAUAAGGCGGCUUCAGAUACAUAUCUGACUAUAAGUCCUUACUGCACUUUACGUUCUCCUAGGAUGGUAAACAGAAAUAUCAUCUUUGUUUCAGGUUGCAAUGCCUGAAAUUCACGCUAGUACUCAGCAAUAGUGGUUAGCGAACCACGAGGAGUUGAAUGUAAAGUGAAGAGAGAGAAAAAAAUGACAGGCAGAAAUUGAGUGUAUAUCUCAAAAGGGAAUGGGUCAUUUAAUUUAAAUGAUCAUAAUGACAACUUUCAAGAUUGUCAAAAUGGCGGUUUUACGAAAUGCCGUACUAAUGAUUACCAAUCAGUCAAGUAUUGGGUUGAAUCAUACCACCGGCUCAUUGGAGGCAAAUGAUUUUAAUGGGAUAAGUUUGAAGUUCUACUUCAAAAGGACCAGAGAACAUUCUGGCAUGAUAGAAGGAGAAUAGACUCCUCUGUAUUGAUGAUAUGCUUGUGGAAUGAUAUUCCAAAGAUAUUUUGGAGAUCUCGUGUAGUCUUCUAGUUAUCCUUAAAUAUGAUUGGCCUGUAAUUGUACUACUACAUAUAGUAUAAAUUGCAACAUCUUGUCCCUCGGACAUGAUAGUUGAGAUAAUUGAGUGUAUGAAUUAGUUUAUACUCAAUCUUGUUGCAUAUAUAAUAAUUUUUCCUCCUUUGUCAUUAUGAUAUUGGACGAUUAGAGAAAUUAUUGACAAUUCUGUUGGCUAGAACUUGACAAGUUGCAAUAUUCCCAACAAUCAUCAGAUUGUUUUGUGCACUGCAUGUGACAUUGGGGAAUUAAUUUUAAGGCACUCUCACCUUAAAAUUUGAAAUGAGCCAGCCAAUACUCUUGAUUGCAUUCAAGAAUAUGUUUGAAUUAUUCAACCAUUAUCUGGGUUAUGUUGGUACUUCAUGGUGUUCAUAGACGCAUCUAGAAGAUGAUCUUAGAUGUGUAUCAUUCACACAAAACCAUGUGUUUACUGAAUUAAUUGCUCAAAUUGACGAAUUUAGAGCAAAUUAUCCUCAUGUGGGAUAAUUCCAUUGGAAUAGAAAUGUCGUUGAACUUGAUUCACGAGCAUUCAAUGGUUAUAUUCAGUAUAUGGUACAUAACCAGAAUGGUUUGGCUGGAUCUCUUAUGAAAGAUAUUUAAUAUUGCAUAACCAAUGUUGCAGAAUUGUGAUUUACCAACAUUUUGUUGAUGGUAACAUGCGGUCUCACACUCCGUAUAUUUGGUCUAAAUGAGAUCAAAUGAUACUGCACCCCCUUGCAGUUUGUACGUGGAAAUAAGUGAAGUAUUUCCUAUCUGCAGUAAUUCGGUUGUAUACCGAUAUCACCACCCCAGCGUACAUCAUGGGCCUUCACAUAUGGUUGGGAUCUAUGUGAGGAAUGACUGUGGUAUGUUCGUUAAUCCGCCGAAUACCUUAACCCUAGCAAGGGAGUUAUUUGCAGCCCAUACGCUGAUUGCUUUUGCAAUAAGAACAUUUUCUGGCAUUAGGGGGAUAUGUGUACCACAAAGAAUGCCAGGAAAUGGAUAAGAAAUGUCAUAGACAUUUUGUCCACGUACUUAAGAAUCUGAACUGCAUGUUCAGGUUAUGAGAAAUUUGCAGCAUAUUGCACAUAAUCUGCCAAGUAUAUUUACUGAUGACAAAGGUGUCACUAUGGUCAAGUACCAGAACGAGUGGAGGUACCUAAUAAACCACUCGUCUCCCUAGAUGAGAGCAAGAGGGGGAGAAUUAUGGUCGCAUGAGAUUACAUUCUCAUAUGUUUCAACGGAAACAUGGGAGAUUGACUCCUCGAUCAGUAAAUAUGAUUCAACCUCGGGUUCAAUGACACCUGAGGGAUGCGCGGCAUCCAAAGUCCAACAGAUAUGUGCACACAUUUUAGGUGUUGGGACAUCGAAACACCUUGACUCUGUUGUUGUGGGAAAUCACGAGUGAAGAGGCAUAAUGAGAAUUCCAUGAUGAUAUUGAUUCAUGAGAAUCGUAUAUGAGAAAGUCAACAUAUGUCGACAUAGAAUUCUUCUCGAGAAUUGCUAGAAUCCUUUUGGGCCCUGAACCAAAUCCAUGGAGAGUGUUGUUGCACUUAUAUUGGUUCAAAUGAAAGGAAGCAAUUAAGGAAGAGUGGCACUCGCUCAUUAAAGAGUGGUAUUUACCAUUGUAAAACCUGCUUCUCAUAAGUAUCUUCCAAAGGGAAGAAAAGUGAUUUUUUGUUUGGAAACAAAAAUAAAUGAGGUGGUGAGAAAGCGAGGCUUGUAGCACAAGGGUUUUUCGCAGAGACCCGACAUCGGUUACGAUGUAGCAUACCUUCUUGGUAUGAGUGGAAUUAUGUUUCGAUACUGAAUGUUAAUGGCAGUAUAGAUCCAUACGGUUGAUGUAUGUAAUGUCUACAUACUCCCAUGGGUCAAUUAGUUUGGAUGUAUAUAUUGAAGUCAUUGAAUGACUUAAUAUUCUGAAUCCAAAGGUAAAUCGCAACAUGCAUGUGUGGAACUUCUAAAGUCAUUCUAUGACUUGAAGUAGUCGGAGAAUUGUGUGGUGCAACCGACUAAGUGAGUUAUUCCUUGACAAGGAUUACUCUCAUACUAAUGAUUGUUGACGUGUAUUCAUGAGGAAAUCCUGGGUUGGAUUUUACAUCACCUUAAUUUGUGGUGUCGAUGAUCUUAUCAUCAAAGUCUAUAUAAGACAUGAAAUACACACAAUCAUGUUAAGACGGAUAUUUGGGUUAAACCAAAUUAUGUUAAGCUUAUGACUUGAGCAUAUCCCCCUAAGAUAUCAGUCUUCAUAUAUCCGAAAGUAUUGGAGAAGUUCAAUAUGGAUAUAUUAUAUCAAAGACACAUAUGGUCAUGUUAUACCUAAUAUGGGAUAUAGAUCCUUGAGACAUAGGGGAGAUGGUGAAGUGAUAGAGGAGCAUGAAUUGCCAUAUCUAAAUACCAUCGAAGCACUCAUAUAUCUUGCAAAAUAUGUCAGGCCUGACACUAUAGUUUUUGGCAAUUUAUUGAGAGUGCAAUUCCCUGAAAGGUAUAAGGUUUGUGUAAGGAAUAUCCUGGGAUAUAUCCAGGGCAUGAAGGGUCUUGAUCAAUUUCAUUCGAAAAAUCAAGAUGGGACCAUGGUUUGAUAUAUUGAUAGUGGCUAAUUAUCUGAUCCCACAAUGCCAUAUCAAAGACUGGGUUUGCUGGAAGAGUACUUUGAAGGAAGUAUUCAGAAUAGACUCUAAACGAGUCCUUCUAGUGAUCAUUCUAUUUCAUUUGAAGCAUCAGAAAAUGUGGAUGACUUCAUAGAAUGAUUGGCCACAUGUGAAAUCAUGUGGAGAUCAUCAUUAUCUACCAAGAUACUGUCACUUGUAUUGCUUAUGGGUUAUAUUUAUCCUUGUGAAUUACAGAAAUGUAAGAGGAUAAUAUGCAAACAGAUUAUUGUAAUAUUCACAAUAUCUCUAUCAAUGUUUACAUUCGAGAGCUAGGUUCGUGGAAUUGGUAUGAGAUAUUCUUGAGGUUUGCAAAGUUCAAGGGGAGUAAAAUCCCAAGUUAUAACCCGUUAGUGAUUCUCAAAUCACUCAUAUUGUACUCUUUUUCCCUUUAUGAGUUUUCCAUAAUGGUUUCUCAUAUAAGGUUUUGAACGAGACAAUAUAAAUACAAGUGCGGAUAUAUGCCAUAUUGGUUUCUCCUUAUAUUUUUCUCACUGGGUUUUAAAGGAGUUUUCGGUGGCAUAUUAUUAUAAGGUUUCUCCUCAAUUUUUCCCACAUGGUUUUUGGAGGAGUUUUCAGUUUGCAAUAUACAUAUGAUGAAUUGAUCAAGGGGGAGUGUUGAGAAAUAAAAACAUGUGAUCAAUUGUAUGGGAGGGAUGUCUCCCAGAAGGUGUCUGUUGGGGAAGAGGUGUCUCCCCAACACACCCCUUCACCAUGUAUAUAAAUGGGUCUCCCACAUUGCAAUAAAAUGAGUGGAUCAUUUGUGUCUCUCCUUUGUCUUCUUUACUUUGAUACUACAACAACGGCUACAAAAUUCGGUGUGAGCUUUUUAGUUUGUUCACAUUUACACCUGCACCAGCGAAGAACCAACUAACGUAUAUUUGCUUAUGCAUGUAAUGGAUUUGGCGCAAUCUUAAUUCAGCUUGUCUUACUAGCUGGUAUUCCGUGAUUGUCAUGCUCCAGUAGUACUACUCAUGACGUGUCCCUACUUGGCAUGAGCUACCAAUUUUUCAUACAAAAAGAAGCUUCUUGCAUGAAGCUAAGAAAAGACACACUAAACAUUAAACAAUAUGUAACGCCAAGCUAGAUGCAUACCUGAAAUUAGGCAGCGGUAGCGGCGGGAGAAAAGAAUUAAACCCAUGGCGCAAUCUGGUUGGUCGCGGUGAAAAAACUUUUCAAAUAUUUUUUAGAUGGAGGUGAGAAAUUUUUUUUGAAAUGUUUUUUAGAUGGUGGUCAGAAACCCAUGUAUUUCUUUUAAUGAAGGAUUAUGCAAAGUGGCGCUUGCCGCUAGGCUACGGUGGUAAAAAAAAUUCCUUUUUCAUUUCUUGUUUAGAUGGAGGUGAGGAUUUUUUUAAAUGUUUUUUUUUAAGAUAGAGGCGAGGACUACAUGUUUUUCUUAAAUGGAAACAUGCGCACAACUUUAUCUAUGAAAACACGCGCACAACUUCAUCUAGCGGUCCCAACCACUAGUACACUAUAAAUGUAUUGAAGUGUUGUGGUACAUGGACGUAGGUAGAACAUGCGACGCACAGUUGGCACAAUGGUCAAAUGUAUCCCUUAUUUUGUGCACCACAACUAGCUACUACUUUUUGUCCAAUAUGGAGUAACUAGAUAAUAAAAGCCAAUUACUGCACGAAUACAUAGGCUAAUUUGGGUACCUUUUUGACUUCUGGUGUAAUCAUGGCCGGCCGCAUUCAUCCUUGUUCGGAGAAGCUGCACUGAAAGUCUUAAACAAUGGUGUCCGUCCGCUUAAUUUGUGCACCAGUAGUAGUAUAUAGCCUUUCCAUGCAUCUUUAUGUUUUUCUUUCCUUGCAUUGCUCCACGAAAGCGCGCAUGCCUUACAUGGUUCCACACAGGUUAAGGCCUCCUUUGGUUUGUAGAAUUUUUAUAGGAAUUCUAUAGGGUAGGAUUUGCAAAGAAAAAAUUUCUUUGAAGCCCUUUGGUUUGUAGGAAUGGAUUCCUAUUCCUAUGUGGGAUAUGAAUCAAUUCUUCACAUUUUGGAGGGAAAAAACAUUAGUCUAGACUCAAUGGAAAAAAUCCUAUCCUAUGCACCAAAUGGCAUCUCUUUCUUAUAGAAAUUGACAUGCAUAUCAUCUCACUUCUUAUGAUUUUUCUAUUCCUAUAAAAUUCAUAUCCUAUAAACCAAAGAAAGCCUAAUAUUUUCUUUACGGAAAUGCUAUCUGGCGACCGUUCCCCAGGAGGAAAUCUCUAGCGAACCCCUCAUAGACACAUGAUCAUGAUCUGAUUGUGUCAGUUUUGGAUGAAACUUAAUACUCCACGAAUGAGCACAAAAAUGUUACAAUAAAAGCUAGCGGCCCCACUUCUGGUUUGGAGGCAUCGAUAAUACGUGCUACUAGUAUCAUGAAUCCCUCUCAAACGACUCCAGUAACUUGGUUAGUGCUAGUAGUCCGAACCCUUGGUGCAUAUUGUGAAAAUUCAAGUCUACUUAGAAACGGGCACGCCUGGAUAAAGCAUCAAGGUAAACCGAGCAAAACACGCAUGAGAAUCUCCGCGUCUUUCUAAAAGCAAAGCUAUCACUCCCAUAUUUCUCCAUCUUCUUUUCCACCUUUUCUCUUGCGUGUACAUGUGUAUGCGCUGCUUUGAUUUUGAUUCGUGUGGAGAUGGAUUGUUUGGAAUAUUUUUUUGGAAGGACUGGCCAGCUUUGUUUGAACGACACACACCGCGGCACACAUACAAGCAUAGUUGGCAGUGGAUGUUUGGUAGAGGGAGCCACGACGACGAUGGGCUCGAAUAGAAUCUGAUGCUUCCUUCUGGGGGCUUUCUUUUUUGUUUGUCAUCCAUGCACGAUGGGCUCGGAUAGGCAGGGAGCAACUACUUAACGAGCGCUUCUUCGAGAGCCUCGCAACGAUCAGCGCCACUUGGCGCGUUCUCAGUCAUUCGCCACGUGUUGCGCUCUGGACGCUCCCUUCGAAUUUUGUUUUUUUAUUUUUCCGCACGCGUUUUCGGCUUUUUAAACGAUUUUUUCCGGGUUUUUCGUUGUUUUGGUUUUCAUCCGGUCUUUCUUAGCUUUUCGAUCAAAAAAAUUUCGAAAAUUUUUUUUUGCGUGAAAAAACACGUUUUCUUUUUUUUUUCCUUUCGCAAAAGUCACGGUUUUUCUUUCGCGAGAGACACGGUUGUGCUUUAUCGAGAGUCAACGCCGUGCCUUUCGGAAACGAAAAAAAACACGUUUUCUAUUUUUUUCGUUUCGCGAGAGUCACGGUUUUGCUUCUGCGAGAGGCACAGUUGUGCUUUCGCGAGAGUCACGACCGUGCCUCUCGGAAAGGGAAAAACAAAAUGCGUUUUCUAUUUUUUUUUCUUUCACGAGAGUCACGGUUUUGCUUUUGCGAGAGGCACGGUUGUGCUUUCGCGAGAGUCACGGCCGUGCCUCUCGGAAACGGAAAAAAAAAACGCGUUUUUUGUUUUUUUUCCUUCCACGAGAGUUACGGUUUUGCUUCCACGAGAGGCACAGUUGUGAUUUCGCGAGAGGCACGGGCGUGCCUCUUUCAGAAAGGAAAAAAAUAACCGUGCUCCCGGUUCGGUUUUUGGCCCGGUUUUUUCGUCCGAUUUUUUUUUUUGAAAAAAGAAGUUCGUCAAAACCUAUCAACAUGGGAUCUAGUUUUGAAGAUCUCGACAUGAGCCAAUGAUGAAAACGGUUCGAGAUUUGAACGCACGGUUUAAGAGAUAAAACAUUUUGAAUAAACGGAUCUAUGAAAAAAGAGAAAACUCUCAGGUUGCGACAAAUGGCGCGCUGCAUGUGUACCACUUGUCGCGACCUGGGAAAGUGGAGUGUUCUUUGCAACGAGUACUCCUUAAUUAGUGAUUUUGGGAUACGCACCCACAAUGCUUUAUUUAUUUAUAAUUCAUCUCGACAUGAAUCUAUUCGGCCCAAUUGAAACAGGCAUUUCGGAAUGCCCGCACAUUUCAACGCUAUCGCAGUUUAAUUUGCAAACACCGAGCCACGAUCAUGCAUCUUAUUCUUGUUCUUUUUGGUAGGUAGGGGCACCAAUAUCUUAUUCUUGGUCUAUUGUUAUUACUCUACGAAGUAAGAAGGCAGCACCUUAAUCACUGGUGCAUCCAUAAUCAAAAGAGAGUACACAUAGAACAUAACUAAACAGCAACACGGCCGUGCGUUGGCUGCUCGAUCGAUGGGGACCGGCGGCGAGUAGGCGCAUGUACCGGCGGCGGCGGCGGGUGCUGGUGGUGCGGUGGCAUUGGGAAGGGCUCUGUCGGGAUGGGUGGGAACAUUGUCACUGUACUUCUUGUCCGCUUCAUUGUCGCUCCACCAGAAUCAGCACCAACGGCGGUGCAGUGGACCAGCAGCACUGCUAUCACCGCCAUCGUGAGGACCGACCUCGCCAUGGUGGACAAUCGGUCUCUAUGCAUCUUUUGAAUGAAGUAUAGGAGUAUGUCUG